UACGGGGGGAGCAAGCGUUGUUCGGAUUUACUGGGCGUAAAGGGCGCGUAGGCGGCCUGUGCAAGUCAGUUGUGAAAUCUCCGGGCUUAACUCGGAACGGUCAACUGAUACUGCUCGGCUAGAGUGCGGAAGGGGCAACUGGAAUUCUCGGUGUAGCGGUGAAAUGCGUAGAUAUCGAGAGGAACACCUGCGGCGAAGGCGGGUUGCUGGGCCGACACUGACGCUGAGGCGCGAAAGCUAGGGGAGCGAACGGG
rnacentral:rRNA from 1 species